GACAGAGGUGGCAAGCGUUGUUCGGAAUUACUGGGCUUAAAGGGCGCGUAGGUGGUGAUAUAAGUCCGGGGUGGAAGGCUGAGGCUUAACCUUGGAAUUGCCCUGGAAACUGUAUCACUUGAGUCAGCGAGGGGAUGGCGGAAUUCCUGGUGUAGCGGUGAAAUGCGUAGAUAUCAGGAGGAAGGCCGGUGGCGAAGGCGGCCAUCUGGCGCUGAACUGACACUGAGGCGCGAAAGCGUGGGGAGCAAACAGG
rnacentral:rRNA from 1 species